rnacentral:rRNA from 1 species
GUGACUAGGCCCAGCGGGGCCCCCCCCCUCGCACUGAGGGGGGGGCUGAACCAACGCUCACGGCUUGGUCAGUUGGAUGACUCUGCUGCUUCUUUUCACCAUUGCAAUCUCCCUUCAGUGUUCAAAUAUUCCAUGUUGCUUCCCGUUGCGCGUUCUAUACCCAGCGGGGAGGAGAACUCAACUCUGGUAUUGCUGUUCUGUGUCUGAGUGGUAAGCACAAUAAACAAGUUAAAACUUUCAACAACGGAUCUCUUGGUUCUCGCAUCGAUGAAGAACGCAGCGAAAUGCGAUAAGUAGUGUGAAUUGCAGAAUUCAGUGAAUCAUCGAAUCUUUGAACGCACAUUGCGCCUCCUGGUAUUCCGGGAGGCAUGCCUGUUCGAGCGUCAUCAAACAUAUACUCAAGCCUCGUUAUGCUUGGUCUUGGGGGAGGAUCGUAUGAUCCCCCCUGAAAUCUCUCAGCGGAAAACCCCUUGUUAUGUCCCCAGGUGUGAUAACUACUAUUCGCCCACGGACUGUCGAGGUGGUCUUGCUGUCAGAAGCCCCCCAGCUUUCCUUUUGUUUGACCUCGGAUCAGGUAGGGA